GAUGAACGCUGGCGGCGUGCCUAAUACAUGCAAGUCGAGCGAACAGAUAAGGAGCUUGCGCCUUUGACGUUAGCGGCGGACGGGUGAGUAACACGUGGGUAACCUACCUAUAAGACUGGGAUAACUCCGGGAAACCGGGGCUAAUGCCGGAUAACAUGUUGAACCGCAUGGUUCAACAGUGAAAGGCGGCUUUGCUGUCACUUAUAGAUGGAGCCGCGCCGGAUUAGCUAGUUGGUGAGGUAACGGCUCACCAAGGCAACGAUCCGUUGCCGACCUGAGAGGGUGAUCGGCCACACUGGAACUGAGACACGGUCCAGACUCCUACGGGAGGCAGCAGUAGGGAAUCUUCCGCAAAGGGCGAAAGCCUGACGGAGCCACGCCGCGUGAGUGAUGAAGGUCUUCGGAUCGUAAAGCUCUGUUAUUAGGGAAGAACAAAUGCGUAAGUAACUGUGCGCGUCUUGACGGUACCUAAUCAGAAAGCCACGGCUAACUACGUG
rnacentral:rRNA from 1 species